GUCGUCCGAGGGUCACAGGCGGUGACUGGGAUCCCGCUUCCAGCGGCGUCUUGCAGCCAGUCCUACUUCCGGGGCUGUAGGCUUACGAGUCCUAGGGAACCUGUCAGCUGUUUAUCCCUCUUCCUGCGCUUGACGCUUCCCGGAGGGCUGGCCGAAUGAGGCUCACACGUCCCCAGCUCGGUGCUACCCGCUUUCGGAAGUAGUGUUGGGGUAGCCUCUGCCCCGAGAGAAAGUACAAAACAGUAACAGCAAAAGUGAGUUGACCUUUGAUGCCACGUGCUGAGUUUUGCUUGCACGUUCUCUCAUGCACUCUUCUCAACUCUCACAAAUAUAAAGCACAGAGUCUGUGGGGGGAGAAAAUCUUUCUGAUAAGAGAAUGAGCCUGAACCAGUCUGCUGAAGGAUGAGAGACCACAUGGAGUAGAGCCCAGAUGUCCCAAACCCCACUGGGCAAGAUUGACAUACAGCCAGCCUCCAAACAUGUUGAGAGGGCCAUCCAAGAUCGGAAGAACUAUCUACUGAUUCCUGGCUUGUAGUCUUCUGAGCAAUAAUAA